rnacentral:rRNA from 1 species
UACGUAGGUGGCGAGCGUUGUCCGGAUUUACUGGGCGUAAAGAGCGCGCAGGCGGUCGUCCAAGUCGCGUGUGAAAGCCCCCGGCUCAACUGGGGAGUGUCACGCGAUACUGAUCGACUCGAAGGCAGGAGAGGGAAGCGGAAUUCCCGGUGUAGUGGUGAAAUGCGUAGAUAUCGGGAGGAACACCAGUGGCGAAGGCGGCUUCCUGGCCUGUUCUUGACGCUGAGGCGCGAAAGCUAGGGUAGCAAACGGG